rnacentral:rRNA from 1 species
GACGAACGCUGGCGGCGUGCCUAAUACAUGCAAGUCGAGCGGACAGAUGGGAGCUUGCUCCCGGAAGUCAGCGGCGGACGGGUGAGUAACACGUGGGCAACCUGCCUGUAAGACUGGGACAACUUCGGGAAACCGGAGCUAAUACCGGAUACGUUCUUUUCUCGCAUGAGAGAAGAUGGAAAGAUGGUUUCGGCUAUCACUUACAGAUGGGCCCGCGGCGCAUUGGCUAGUUGGUGAGGUAAUGGCUCACCAAGGCGACGAUGCGUAGCCGACCUGCGAGGGUGAUCGGCCACACUGGGACUGAGACACGGCCCAGACUCCUACUGGAGGCAGCAGUAGGGAAUCUUCCGCAAUGGACGAAAGUCUGACGGAUCAACGCCGCGUGAACGAUGAAGGCCUUCGGGUCGUAAAGUUCUGUUGUUAGGGAAGAACAAGUACCAGAGUAACUGCCGGUACCUUGACGGUACCUAACCAGAAAGCCACGGCUAACUACGUGCCAGCCGCCGCGGUAAGAC